rnacentral:rRNA from 1 species
CUCCACUUCGGGAUAAGCCUUGGAAACGGGGUCUAAUACCGGAUAUGAGCUCCUGCUGCAUGGUCUGCGUUUGGAAAGAUUUUUCGGUUGGGGAUGGGCUCGCGGCCUAUCAGCUUGUUGGUGAGGUAAUGGCUCACCAAGGCGUCGACGGGUAGCCGGCCUGAGAGGGUGACCGGCCACACUGGGACUGAGACACGGCCCAGACUCCUACGGGAGGCAGCAGUGGGGAAUAUUGCACAAUGGGCGCAAGCCUGAUGCAGCAACGCCGCGUGAGGGAUGACGGCCUUCGGGUUGUAAACCUCUUUUAGCAGGGAAGAAGCGAAAGUGACGGUACCUGCAGAAAAAGCGCCGGCUAACUACGUGCCAGCAGCCGCGGUAAUACGUAGGGCGCAAGCGUUAUCCGGAAUUAUUGGGCGUAAAGAGCUCGUAGGCGGUUUGUCGCGUCUGCUGUGAAAUCCCGAGGCUCAACCUCGGGCCUGCAGUGGGUACGGGCAGACUAUAGUGCGGUAGGGGAGAUUGGAAUUCCUGGUGUAGCGGUGGAAUGCGCAGAUAUCAGGAGGAACACCGAUGGCGAAGGCAGAUCUCUGGGCCGUAACUGACGCUGAGGAGCGAAAGGGUGGGGAGCAAACAGGCUUAGAUACCCUGGUAGUCCACCCCGUAAACGUUGGGAACUAGUUGUGGGGUGCAUUCCGCGGAUUCCGUGACGCAGCUAACGCAUUAAGUUCCCCGCCUGGGGAGUACGGCCGCAAGGCUAAAACUCAAAGGAAUUGACGGGGACCCGCACAAGCGGCGGAGCAUGCGGAUUAAUUCGAUGCAACGCGAAGAACCUUACCAAGGCUUGACAUAUACGAGAACGGGCCAGAAAUGGUCAACUCUUUGGACACUCGUAAACAGGUGGUGCAUGGUUGUCGUCAGCUCGUGUCGUGAGAUGUUGGGUUAAGUCCCGCAACGAGCGCAACCCUCGUUCUAUGUUGCCAGCACGUAAUGGUGGGAACUCAUAGGAGACUGCCGGGGGCAACUCGGAGGAAGGUGGGGAUGACGUCAAAUCAUCAUGCCCCUUAUGUCUUGGGCUUCACGCAUGCUACAAUGGCCGGUACAAAGGGCUGCAAUACCGUGAGGUGGAGCGAAUCCCAAAAAGCCGGUCCCAGUUCGGAUUGAGGUCUGCAACUCGACCUCAUGAAGUCGGAGUCGCUAGUAAUCGCAGAUCAGCAACGCUGCGGUGAAUACGUUCCCGGGUCUUGUACACACCGCCCGGCAAGUCACGAAAGUUGGUAACACCCGAAGCCCAUGGCCCAACCCUUUGGGGGGGAGUGGUCGAAG